rnacentral:rRNA from 1 species
GCCUGUUUAUCAAAAACAUGUCUUUUUGUAUAAUAUAUUAAGUCUGGCCUGCCCAAUGAUUUUAUUCAAUGGCCGCGGUAUUUUGACCGUGCAAAGGUAGCAUAAUCAUUAGUUUUUUAAUUGAAAGCUGGAAUGAAUGGUUUGACGAGAAAAUUACUGUCUCUUUAAGAUAAUUUGAAUUUUAUUUUUUAGUUAAAAAGCUUAAAUAUUUAUAAGGGACGAGAAGACCCUAUAGAAUUUUAUAAUUUAAAUUUUAAUUUUUUAUAGUUUAAGUUGAUUAUUAUAGUUUAAAUUAUUUUGUUGGGGCGACAGGAAAAUUUAUUUAACUUUUUUUUUUUAUUUACAUUAAUUAGUGAAUUUUUGAUCCAAUUUUAUUGAUUAUAAGAGGAAAUUACCUUAGGGAUAACAGCGUUAUUAAUUUGGAGAGUUCAUAUCGAUAAAUUAGUUUGCGACCUCGAUGUUGGAUUAAAAUUAUGUUUAGGUGGAGAUGCUUAAAUAAUAAGUCUGUUCGACUUUUAAAAUUUUACAUGAUCUGAGUUCAGACCGG